AGAUGGUGUAGGUAGUGGACUUAGAUGGUGUAGGUAGUGGACUUAGAUGGUGUAGGUAGUGGACUUAGAGGGUGUAGGUAGUGGACUUAGAUGACUGGCACACUUUUAUUGACUGGUGCAGUUGGCAAACAUUUUUAGGCCAGUGGUUCAACCGAAAAUAUAUUUUUUUGCCCAGAAAGAUCCUUAUGUGGCUAGUAAAGAAAUGGUCCGGUGUGCUAGAAAAUGCCAGGGCUGAUUUCUGGCCCCAGUCCGCCCCUGGUCAAUCAGGUUUCAGGAUGCUGCUAGGCUGACUGGCCUGACAUCCUAUCGGGUGUUCUCUAAUUGAGCCUGUCACUAAUCUGUCUUGUACCCUAUCUCCUUCUUGACUCCCAUCAGGUCUCAUUAUACUAAUUAA